UACGUAGGGGGCAAGCGUUGUCCGGAUUUACUGGGCGUAAAGAGCGUGUAGGCGGCCACGCAGGUCCGUUGUGAAAACUGGAGGCUCAACCUCCAGCUGUCGACGGAAACCGUAUGGCUAGAGUCCGGAAGAGGAGAGUGGAAUUCCUGGUGUAGCGGUGAAAUGCGCAGAUAUCGUAAGGAAGACCAGUGGCGAAGGCGGGUCUCUGGACAGUUCCUGACGCUGAGGCACGAAGGUCAGGGGAGCAAACGGG
rnacentral:rRNA from 1 species